ensembl:miRNA Mir294 microRNA 294
UUCCAUAUAGCCAUACUCAAAAUGGAGGCCCUAUCUAAGCUUUUAAGUGGAAAGUGCUUCCCUUUUGUGUGUUGCCAUGUGGAG